rnacentral:rRNA from 1 species
CAAUAGCGUAUAUUUAAGUUGUUGCAGUUAAAAAGCUCGUAGUUGGAUUUCGGUUAAGAGCGACCGGUCCGCCGUUUGGUGUGCACUGGUUGGUUUUAACUUCCUGUAGAGGACGUGCUCUGGGUUUAACGACCUGGACUCGGAGUCUACGUGGUUACUUUGAAAAAAUUAGAGUGUUCAAAGCGGGCUUACGCUUGAAUAUUUCAGCAUGGAAUAACACUAUAGGACUCCUGUCCUAUUUCGUUGGUCUCGAGACGGGAGUAAUGAUUAAGAGGAACAGUUGGGGGCAUUCGUAUUUCAUUGUCAGAGGUGAAAUUCUUGGAUUUAUGAAAGACGAACUUCUGCGAAAGCAUUUGCCAAGGAUGUUUNCAUUA